UUGAGCCGAGAUGCCGGGAAACUGGCACGUCCGGUUCUGAGGGGGCGCGGGCGCAGUAAUGCGCCCGCGCUACCCGAC
rnacentral:ncRNA from 1 species